rnacentral:rRNA from 1 species
AUUGAACGCUGGCGGCAGGCCUAACACAUGCAAGUCGAGCGGAGCGGCGGACGGGUGAGUAAUGCCUAGGAAUCUGCCUGGUAGUGGGGGAUAACGUCCGGAAACGGGCGCUAAUACCGCAUACUGUCGGAUGAACCCAUAUGGGAUUAGCUAGUAGGUAAGGAAAUGGCUUACCUAGGCGACGAUCCCUAUCUGGUCUGGGAGGAUGAACGGCCACAUUGGGACUGAGACACGGCCCAGACUCCUACGGGAGGCAGCAGUGGGGAAUAUUGGACAAUGGGCGAAAGCCUGAUCCAGCCAUGCCGCGUGUGUGAAGAAGGUCUUCGGAUUGUAAAGCACUUUAAGUUGGGAGGCGUUACCAACAGAAUAAGCACCGGCUAACUUCGUGCCAGCAGCCGCGGUAAUAC